GCAGUAUUCUAACUGUGCUAAGGUAGCAUAAUCAUUAGUCUUUUAAUUGGAGACUGGUAUGAAUGGCUUAACGAGAAAUUAACUUUUUUUGUUAUAAAGAUUGAAUUUAAUUUUUUAGUGAAAAAGCUAAAAUUUUUCAGAAAGACGAGAAGACCCUAUAGAGUUUUAUGUUUUAAAAAAAUAAAUUUUUAUUAGAUUUUUAAAUUAUUUAUUUUUAUAAACAUUUUGUUGGGGCGACAUAAAGAUAAAUAAAACUCUUUAUAUUAAAAAUUUUUAUAAAAAUAUUUUUUGAUCCUUUAUAAGAGAUUAAAAGAAAAAAUUACCUUAGGGAUAACAGCGUAAUCUUUUUUAAGAGUUCUAAUCGACAAAAAGGUUUGCGACCUCGAUGUUGGACUAAAAUUUAGGCAGGGUGCAGCAGUUCUGCUUUAAGGUCUGUUCGACCUAUA
rnacentral:rRNA from 1 species